rnacentral:rRNA from 1 species
AGAGUUUGAUCCUGGCUCAGAUUGAACGCUGGCGGUAUGCUUAACACAUGCAAGUCGAACGGAAACGAUACUAGCUUGCUAGUAGGCGUCGAGUGGCGGACGGGUGAGUAACGCGUAGGAAUCUACCAGAUAGUGGGGGAUAGCCCGGAGAAAUUCGGAUUAAUACCGCAUAAUCUCUACGGAGUAAAGGAGGCCUCUAUUUAUAUGCUUUCGCUAUCUGAUGAGCCUGCGUAAGAUUAGCUAGUUGGUGAGGUAAAAGCUCACCAAGGCAACGAUCUUUAGCUGGUCUGAGAGGAUGAUCAGCCACACUGGGACUGAGACACGGCCCAGACUCCUACGGGAGGCAGCAGUGGGGAAUAUUGGACAAUGGGGGCAACCCUGAUCCAGCAAUACCGCGUGUGUGAAGAAGGCCUGAGGGUUGUAAAGCACUUUCAAUUGUGAAGAAAAGUUAAUAGUUAAUAACUAUUAGCCUUGACGUUAACUUUAGAAGAAGCA